rnacentral:rRNA from 1 species
AGGGAAUAUUGCACAAUGGGGGAAACCCUGAUGCAGCGACGCCGCGUGAGUGAUGAAGGCCUUCGGGUUGUAAAGCUCUGUUCUGCGGGAAGAAAUAAAUGACGGUACCGCAGAAGAAAGGACCGGCUAACUUCGUGCCAGCAGCCGCGGUAAUACGAAGGGUCCUAGCGUUGCUCGGAAUCAUUGGGCGUAAAGCGGGUGUAGGCGGCCAACUAAGUCAGAAGUGAAAGCCCCGGGCUCAACCCGGGAAGUGCUUUUGAAACUGGUUGGCUUGAGUGUGGGAGAGGAUAGUAGAAUUCCUGGUGUAGUGGUGAAAUACGUAGAUAUCAGGAGGAAUACCGGUGGCGAAGGCGGCUAUCUGGCCCAACACUGACGCUCAGACCCGAAAGCGUGGGGAGCAAAC